rnacentral:rRNA from 1 species
UACGAAGGGGGCUAGCGUUGCUCGGAAUUACUGGGCGUAAAGGGCGCGUAGGCGGCGCAUUUAGUCAGGCGUGAAAGUCCUGGGCUCAACCUGGGAACUGCGCUUGAUACGGGUGUGCUAGAGGAUGGAAGAGGCUCGCGGAAUUCCCAGUGUAGAGGUGAAAUUCGUAGAUAUUGGGAAGAACACCGGUGGCGAAGGCGGCGAGCUGGUCCAUUACUGACGCUGAGGCGCGACAGCGUGGGGGAGCAAACAGG